rnacentral:rRNA from 1 species
UACGGAGGGUGCAAGCGUUAUCCGGAUUCACUGGGUUUAAAGGGUGCGUAGGCGGGCAGGUAAGUCCGUGGUGAAAUCUCUGAGCUUAACUCAGAAACUGCCAUGGAUACUAUUUGUCUUGAAUAUUGUGGAGGUAAGCGGAAUAUGUCAUGUAGCGGUGAAAUGCAUAGAUAUGACCCGGAACACCGAUUGCGAAGGCAGCCUACUAAGCAAUUAUUGACGCUGAGGCACGAAAGCGUGGGGAUCAAACAGG